rnacentral:lncRNA from 1 species
CACUGAGGACCUUGGUCCUGACACUCUGGGCUGUCACCUGGGAGGUGAGGCACACUUUCUGACCUCCCCUCACUGAGGACCUUGGUCCUGACACACUGGGUGAAACCUGGGAGGUGAGGGCACACUCUCUGACCUCCCCUCACUGAAGACCUUGUUCCUGACACACUGGGCUUUCACCUGGGAGGUGAGGGCACACUCUCUCACCUGCCCUCACUGAGGACCCUGGUCCAGACACAACGGGCUGUUACCUGGGAGGUUAGGACACCUCUCUGACCUCCUCACACUGAGGACCUUGGUUCUGACACACUGGGUGUCACCUGGGAGGUGAGUGCACACUCUCUGACCUCCCCUCACUGAGGACCCUGGUCCUGACACACUGGGCUGUCACCUGGGUGGUGAUGGCACAUUCUGUGACCUCCGCUCACUGAGGACCUAGGCCCUGACACACUGGGCUGUCACCUGGAGGUGAGGGCACACUCUCUGACCUCCCCUCACUGAGGAAGUUUGUCCUGACACACUGGGCUGACACCUGCGAGGUGAGGGCACACUCUCUGACAUCCCCUCCCUGCGUACCUUGGUCCUGACACACUGGGCUGACACCUGCGAGGUGAGGGCACACACUCUGACAUCCCCUCUCUGCGUACCUUGGUCCUGACACACUGGCUGAC